AGCUGCUGUAGUACCUGCACCUGGUGAGGUUGGUGGUGCGCUACUACAUGCCUCUACAACAAGACACGGUGGCAUGCUAAAUGGAGCUUUGAGCAGCAGCACAUCGUGGGGAGAGGACGGAUGUGGUGGUCUGGGAGCCUCGGGCUCCACUACAUCUGCCGCUAGAAGCAGCAACAGAACGCGUUGUUCGACUGUGCCAGCCUUGGCGGUGAUCUCAACGAUUGCAUGGAGUGGAAGACUUUGCAGUGUAGCAAGGUUGCUCAGGAGCUGCUGAAGGGAAACAACCCUGGAUGUCACAGGCUGAAGGAGGAGGUCUUACACAUCUUCUUGGUUCAGGACUUGAGAAAUAAGGUGAAGAAAAAGGAAAAAGACAUGCUAAUCUUUCCCUUC